UAGUCUGAAUGGUUAAAAUGAUUGUUUUCAUGUGCAGCUCCAUCUCAACCUUACACAGACAGACGUAGACAUGCAGCGUAUAAAUCGAUUUUCAAUAAAACGUUUUGCACCAAAGAGUUGAGAAUAAACACUGAGGCUCUUUACUGUAUUUGAAAUGUUAAAUUGACAUUUGUGACUGUAUACGAUACAGACCAGCAAAUAUUGCAGUAAGCAUAUUGCGAGGGAACACGAAACAAAUCUCCCCCUCCCUCAUGUCCCCUAGGGGCCGUGGGGGGACACACGGUACACUUUUCUUGAAACACUAAAACUCUCAACACUUGUAGUUAAAGCAGAAGCCGCAUUGCCAUUAACCAUAAAAUUUUGCAAACUGAAAUGACAAAAUUAAUGUGCUUAAUUUAGAUUAUUCUGUGCUGUCAGUUUAAAACCUGGGUUGUUUGUCAGUUCUUUGUUUUUUUUGUGUAUGUCUUGUUUUUUGUGAUUUAUAUUUAUUAGACCCGAAUAAUAGUCAAUGAAAGUUUCACUAAACAGAUUUAUUACAUUAUUUAUUCAAAUAAAAAAAAAUAUUGUCCAAAAUAUACCUUCUCUUUUAUUAUAACAAUUUUACAGUUGAAGGAAAACUUACUUUUUUUUUUCUUUUUUCGCUCAAUUUGCAUUUCUUUGAACAACGAAGUUUUAUCGUCACAUCUGAUCGACAGAAAGAAAAAAACCAACAUGUUAUCAACGAAUGGGUGGCCGGAAUUGUGCAGAGGAAAAUACAAGGAAAAAGUGAAUUGGGUAACAUUCUGCAACAUAGGCAAUCAAAAAAAAAAAACACAAAAAAAAAACAUUUUUAAUUGAU